rnacentral:tRNA from 1 species
GCGGGUAUAGUAUAUCGGCUAUUAUGCGGCCUUCCCAAGGCCGAGAGACGGGUUCGACUCCCGUUAUCCGCUCCA